GUUGAAACACCGAUUCCCGUGCGAUCACCAAAGUUAAGCAACAUCAAGCCUGGUCAGUACCUAGAUGGGUGACCACUUGGGGCCACCUGGCGCUGAAA